rnacentral:rRNA from 1 species
GACGAACGCUGGCGGCGUGCUUAACACAUGCAAGUCGAACGGAAAGGCCCUGCUUUUGUGGGGUGCUCGAGUGGCGAACGGGUGAGUAACACGUGAGUAACCUGCCCUUGCCUUUGGGAUAACUUCAGGAAACUGGGGCUAAUACCGGAUAGGAGCUCCUGCUGCAUGGUGGGGGUUGGAAAGUUUCGGCGGUUGGGGGUGGACUAGCGGCUUAUCAGCUUGUUGGUGGGGUAGUGGCUUACCAAGGCUUUGACGGGUAGCCGGCCUGAGCGGGUGACCUGCCAAAUUGGGAUGGAGAUACGGCCCAGACUCCUACGGGAGGCAACGGUGCGGAGGAGUGUACAAUGGGCGGAAGCCUGACCUAGCAACGCCGCGUGCGGGAUGACGGCCUGCGGGUUGUAAAGCGCUGCCGUCUGUGACGAAGCGUUAGUGACGGUAAUGGGUAAAGAAGCACCGGCUAACUACGUG